UUGAAACACCAGUUCUCGUUUGAUCACCAAAGUUAAGCAACGUCGAGCCUGGUCAGUACCUAUUUGGGUGACUGCUUAGGAAUACAAGUUGCUGUAAG